AGGACGAACGCUGGCGGCGUGCUUAACACAUGCAAGUCGAGCGGAAAGGCCCUUCGGGGUACUCGAGCGGCGAACGGGUGAGUAACACGUGAGUAAUCUGCCCCUAGCUCUGGGAUAGCUCCGGGAAACCGGGAUUAAUACUGGAUACGACCACUUUAGACAUCUGUUGUGGUGGAAAGAAUUUUGGCUAGGGAUGAGCUCGCGGCCUAUCAGCUUGUUGGUGGGGUAACGGCCUACCAAGGCGACGACGGGUA
rnacentral:rRNA from 1 species